ensembl:snRNA U6 U6 spliceosomal RNA
GGGCUCCCUUCAGCACCACAUAUACUAAAAUUGAAAUGACACAGGGAAGAUUAGCAUGACUUUGUGCAGGAUGACAAGCAAAUUUGUGAGAUGUUAUAUAUUUUA